rnacentral:rRNA from 1 species
AGUGAACGCUGGCGGUAGGCCUAACACAUGCAAGUCGAACGGCAGCACAGUAAGAGCUUGCUCUUACGGGUGGCGAGUGGCGGACGGGUGAGGAAUACAUCGGAAUCUACUUUUUCGUGGGGGAUAACGUAGGGAAACUUACGCUAAUACCGCAUACGACCUACGGGUGAAAUCAGGGGAUCUUCGGACCUUGCGCGAUUGAAUGAGCCGAUGUCGGAUUAGCUAGUUGGCGGGGUAAAGGCCCACCAAGGCGACGAUCCGUAGCUGGUCUGAGAGGAUGAUCAGCCACACUGGAACUGAGACACGGUCCAGACUCCUACGGGAGGCAGCAGUGGGGAAUAUUGGACAAUGGGCGCAAGCCUGAUGCAGCAAUACCGCGUGGGUGAUGAAGGCCUUCGGGUUGUAAAGCCCUUUUGUUGGGAAAGAAAAGCAGCAGGUGAAUACCCCGCUGUUCUGACGGUACCCAAAGAAUAAGCACCGGCUAACUUCGUG